AUACAGAGCCGUACAAAAACCUCUCUCAGUCAGACUGCACAGUGACUGUACUGAUACAGCUGGGACCUACUGCAGGUGCUGAGGGGGAAGAGACAGUGACAUGGAAGACUGAUCAGUAGAGGAGGUCAACUUUGAAAAUGGUUAGAAAGUAUCAUACAAAUCACACGUUGUCCCAACGUCAUCAUCGUCAUCAUGGUUGUAACUUGUUAUAUUGGACAUGAACUGAAAGUGUAUAUACAGUAAAAGUUAUUUGUAGUUUUGGAAGACAAUACCAGUCCAUAGUAGAGUAAGAUGUACAGAAGUAAGAGGAAACGUAUCAGCCCCCCAAACCAAUUCCCUACAUGCACUUCACAACCAGUUAAUGAUGUGAUCAUCUAGCAUGUAUUAACCCUUUUCAUGAGCUGAUAGAUCUGUGAAUGAGACAUGAUGCUGGGCUCAAACAUGACACAUUGAUGUAGAGACAUACACUACACACUAUUAUCAGAAAGUAUCAUUCCAUUUUAUCUGUCAUUAAUUACAUGGUGGCAUAUCUGUUAUGUCUCCCUCCCUGAAUCCACCAUAGAGGUUAAAACCAGUCCACUCCCUCACAUCUGGCCCAGUCCAGGGUAUUUCAGGCAGUAAAACAGGUCAACUGGUAGACUGGUAGCUGUGGGAGUGAAACAGAUUUACAUAGACAUGGCUGGUUGGUUCUGCUUGUCCCAGAAUAGAGCAGAACUGUCACCAGAUGUUCACUCUGUCCCCAGGGGGUUGGAGGUAGAGAAGACCAGGGAAAAUGUAAUGGAAAAGCGUAGACCACACAUUGUUGAAAACCAUUGGAAAAAUAUCUAAUUUAAUAAAAUCAUAUUAGGAAUUAAACAUUACAAAUAUACAGUUGACAUCGGAAGUUUACAGACACCUUAGCCAAAUACAUUUAAAUACAGUUUUUCACAAUUCCUGACAUUUAAUCCUAGUAAUAAUUCCCUGUCUUAGGUCAGUUAGGAUCACCACUAUUUUAAGAAUGUCAAAUGUCAGAAUAAUAGUAGAGAGAAUGAUUUAUUUCAGCUUUUAUUUCUUUCAUCACAUUCCCGGUGGGUCAGAAGUUUACUUACACCCCAUUAGUAUUUGGUAGUGAAGGAGGUUCACCUAGGGGUCAUGAUAGGGGCUUACUAAAUGUUUGAAGUAUUAUAAUAAUUGAUUAUGCUUAUGUUGUAUUAAUAUACGGGGAGGGGUUAUAAGACCCCACCCUCCUUACAUUUAUAGGGUUCUAGACUACAGAUUAACAAUAUAUAUUCAUUAUAGAUGUUUAUAAUUGUUCCACCACUGUUUUCUGGUCUCUUUGCCUCUUAUAAAGAGACCUCUGAGAAAUGUGUGACUGUGAAGACAGAACUCUGCAGGGGAGUGUAAGAGAAGAGAUUAGUUAGACGUUCCACUAUCCAUCAACUUGGACAUUUACUGCUAAGCUUUUAGAUAGUUAUAUAAACAAGAGUUGUAGUGUAGAGUAGGCAUGGUUUUGGUCUCAUCAGUAAAAGAUAAUGAUGUAGGCAGUGACAUCACUCGGGCUGGACUUUGGGUUUAAUAAAAUAACUUGGGACCAUUUCUUUGAUACAGAACUUACUCGGAAACAUGCUUUAUUUUCCAGUUGUCAACUUCUGUCUGUACAAUAGGGACUGAUAGUACUGAAGUACAAAUAUAACACAAUAGGGAUAGAGAGUACUGAACUACUAAUAUAAUACAAUAGGGACUGAUAGUACUGAAGUACAAAUAUAACAUAAUAGGGACAGAGAGUACUGAACUACUAAUAUAAUACAAUAGGGAUUGAUAGUACUGAAGUACUGGAAUAACAUAAUAGGGACUGAUAAUCCUGGGUUAUGAGUAUAAUCCACUGACACACUUAGAUAAUUACAUGUUCCUCUUAGAUCACUGAUUUACAGUAUAAGUUAUUUAUAACACGAUAAAAUAUUCUGUAUCUGCAUAAUCUGUAUGUAAUUAUAUAGCUAACAGUUAUGAAUGUAGGUACUAGCAGUAAGACUAUUUACAUAUGACCGUUUGCAUUGGCAGCACAUGCUUCAGUGCUCUGGGAGUAUUUAUAACCCUGUGAGUUUAUCACUUCAUGACUGAGAGCUGUCCUUCAUGACAACAGAACCCAAAACAACCAUGACUUUUAUCACCAUCUUCAUCUGGAUAUUUGCCCUCUGCUUUCAAGAGUCCAGAGGCCAGGUCACAGUGACCCAGACUCCUGCAGUGAAAGCUGUUUCAGUUAGUCACUCAGUCAGUCUCAGCUGUAAGACCAGCAGUGCAGUAUACAGUGAUA